rnacentral:rRNA from 1 species
UACGAAGGGGGCUAGGCGUUGCUCGGAAUUACUGGGCGUAAAGGGCGCGAGUAGGCGGACAGUUUAGUCAGAGGUGAAAGCCCAGGGCUCAACCUUGGAAUUGCCUUUGAUACUGGCUGUCUUGAGUUCGGGAGAGGUGAGUGGAAUGCCGAGUCGUAGAGGUGAAAUUCGUAGAUAUUCGGCGGAACACCAGUGGCGAAGGCGACUCACUGGCCCGAU